rnacentral:rRNA from 1 species
UACGGAGGGUGCGAGCGUUGUCCGGAAUCACUGGGCGUAAAGGGCGCGUAGGUGGCGCGACAAGUCAACGGUGAAAGCUCGGCGCUCAACGCCGAGUCGGCCGUCGAUACUGUUGGGCUUGAGCACUGUAGAGGCUAAUGGAAUUCCGGGUGUAGCGGUGGAAUGCGUAGAUAUAGGAAGGAACACCAGUGGCGAAGGCGACCACCUGGGCUCAUACUGACACUGAGGUGCGAAAGCGUGGGGAGCAAACAGG